UCUUUGAAUAAGAGGAUUGAGAGUUUUUGAAUAUUGUGAAAUGAAUUAUAGAAUGGAAAUGUGAUUGGUAUUAUUUGAGAAGUAGAAAGAUUGAAUGCUGAAAUGUGAUUGUAGUUCAACAGAGAGAAUGAGUCUGUAUUUGUAUGAAACAGCGUAAUAUGAAUGAUAGUUUUGUGUGAAGAAUUCGAGUAAUUGGAAUGAGGGUAAUUGUGUGCUGAAAGCUGUGAGGGCACAGUAUUACAAUUGGAGAUUAU
rnacentral:lncRNA from 1 species